AUUGAACGCUGGCGGCAGGCUUAACACAUGCAAGUCGAGCGGGGUGAUGGUGCUUGCACUAUCACUUAGCGGCGGACGGGUGAGUAAUGCUUAGGAAUCUGCCUAUUAGUGGGGGACAACAUCUCGAAAGGGAUGCUAAUACCGCAUACGUCCUACGGGAGAAAGCAGGGGAUCACUUGUGACCUUGCGCUAAUAGAUGAGCCUAAGUCGGAUUAGCUAGUUGGUGGGGCAAAGGCCUACCAAGGCGACGAUCUGUAGCGGGUCAGAGAGGAUGAUCCGCCACACUGGGACUGAGACACGGGCCAGACUCCUACGGGAGGCAGCAGUGGGGAAUAUUGGACAAUGGGGGGAACCCUGAUCCAGCCAUGCCGCGUGUGUGAAGAAGGCCUUAUGGUUGUAAAGCACUUUAAGCGAGGAGGAGGCUCUUUUGGUUAAUACCCAAGAUGAGUGGACGUUACUCGCAGAAUAAGCACCGGCUAACUCUGUGCCAGCCGCCGCGGUAA
rnacentral:rRNA from 1 species